rnacentral:RNase_P_RNA from 1 species
AGGCAGCCGCUGGCACAUAUGUGUCAGAGGAAAGUCCAUGCUCGCACUGUCUGCGAUGACAGUAGUGAUUGUGCUGGCCUAAGAAAUAAGACCAGGCAUCCGCAAGGAUGACGGCGGAGCGAAAGCCUAAAGAGAAAUCCAUGGCCGCCGCCCGUAACGUGUCACAGUGACGAAGUCCCGCCGGAAACAGCGGGAGUGGAACGCGAUAAACCCCGCAAGCGAGAAACCCAAAUUUGGUAGGGGAACCGGUCCGAUGCGAAAUGAAGCGGAGGAGGGCUUGCUCAGGCAAGAGAUAAAUGGCUGCCGCGCCGCAAGGCGGACAGAACAUGGCUUAU